UCCCUGACAGUCCAGUGGUUAGGACUCCACACUUUCACUGUCGAGGCCCCAGGUUCAAUCCCUGGUCAGGGAA